GACGAACGCUAGCGGCAGGCUUAAUACAUGCAAGUCGAGGGGCAGCAGGGGUGUAGCAAUACACUCGCUGGCGACCGGCAAACGGGUGCGGAACACGUACGCAAUCUACCCAAAACUGAUGAAUAGCCCUCCGAAAGGAGGAUUAAUACAUCGUAACAUUAUAGAGUGGCAUCACUUUAUGAUUAUAGCUCCGGCGGUUUUGGAUGAGCGUGCGGCUGAUUAGGUAGUUGGCAGGGUAAUGGCCUACCAAGCCUGCGAUCAGUAACUGGUGUGAGAGCACGACCAGUCACACGGGCACUGAGACACGGGCCCGACUCCUACGGGAGCAGCAGUAAGGAUAUUGGUCAAUGGACGCAAGUCUGAACCAGCCAUGCCGCGUGAAGGAUGAAGGUCCUCUGGAUU
rnacentral:rRNA from 1 species